GUCCUGCUGAAGAGUCCCAAACUAGGACGAAACAGCUGUCCAGUAC
rnacentral:hammerhead_ribozyme from 1 species